GUGAAGUGAGAAAGAAGUAGGUUAACCAAUUAGAAAUGAAAGAGAGACUGAUUAGCCAAUCGGAAACGAAAUGAAUGGAGUCUAGCCAAUCAGAUAUGAGAAGUAGAGAAUUGGACUAAUUAGAAACGAGAAUAAGACAGUUGAACAAAUCAGAAUCGAAAGUGAGUAAACAAGAAAGAAAGAAGCAAGAAAGAGAGAGAGAUAGGAUGGUGAGUAGAGUGAGAAGGGUUGAGAAAAAGUGGGAAAUAACAAAACAAGAUGUCCGUAUCAGCAGUCGAUAAGAGUUUAUCACGCAACGCGCUUAGCAUAUACGUUUGUAAGCUUUCUCUCUCUUUCCGUAAACGCGCAAGCAAAACAGCCAAGUGCCGAGGAAACCCCUACUAACCGUUUCACGAGCGUCAGUGUGCUAGUCAGUGGCAAGAAAAAAUGGCGGAUGUCGACUUGAACAUCGACAGCCUCAUACAAAGAUUAUUAGAAGUGUACAACACGCAGAAAGACCAGGUUCAGAAGAAAGCCAAGCUAAAAGAUAUUUUCUCGUCGGAUUUUGUCGUAAGAGGAUGCAGACCGGGAAAGACAGUAACAAUGUCCGAGGGAGAAGUACGUGGACUUUGUUUAAAGUCCCGUGAGAUUUUUCUUCAACAACCGAUACUUCUGGAAUUGGAAGCACCUCUUAAAAUUUGCGGCGACAUUCAUGGCCAAUACACGGAUUUGUUGAGACUAUUCGAAUAUGGUGGAUUCCCACCCGAGGCUAAUUACCUUUUCCUUGGUGAUUAUGUUGAUCGUGGAAAGCAAUCUCUCGAGACGAUAUGUCUCUUGCUAGCUUAUAAAAUCAAAUAUCCUGAGAAUUUCUUCUUACUACGUGGGAACCAUGAAUGCGCCAGCAUUAACAGGAUAUAUGGAUUUUAUGAUGAAUGUAAAAGAAGGUAUAACAUAAAGCUUUGGAAGACAUUUACCGAUUGCUUUAAUUGUCUACCAAUAGCCGCCAUUAUCGACGAGAAGAUUUUUUGUUGUCAUGGUGGCCUCAGUCCAGAUCUUCAGAGUAUGGAGCAGAUUAAAAGGAUCAUGAGACCCACAGAUGUACCUGAUACUGGUCUUCUUUGCGAUCUACUUUGGUCUGACCCUGAUAAAGAUGUUCAGGGCUGGGGAGAAAACGACAGAGGUGUUUCUUUCACCUUUGGUCCAGAUGUUGUAUCCAAAUUCUUAAAUCGUCACGAUAUGGAUUUAAUAUGUAGAGCUCAUCAAGUUGUCGAAGAUGGUUAUGAAUUCUUUGCUAAAAGACAACUGGUCACUCUCUUUUCUGCUCCUAAUUAUUGUGGAGAGUUUGACAAUGCUGGUGGCAUGAUGAGCGUCGAUGAAACAUUAAUGUGCAGUUUCCAGAUCUUGAAACCUUCAGAGAAGAAAGCAAAGUAUCAAUACGGUGGUAUGAAUACCGGUCAAGCAGGCAGACCAUCUACACCACAAAGAAAUCCAGCGAAAAAGAAAUGACAGCCUUCUGACCAAAAUGAACAAUUAGUAUUCUCUUUAUUGACAGUGCUGAAAGCAUGAAGACGUCGAGCUCGAUCUAAUCUAUCCUAAUCCGUUAAUAUAUAAAAGAUAAAGUGUGCGUAAGACGAUUACUCUUAUUUUUUAUGUUGAUUGCAUCUUAAACGUGAGAUAUUGCGGUUCUAAUUAUUCACAAACGAUAGAAUUUAUUUCUGUUCAUUUUUUUGUUUUUUCUCCGUUUCUUCUUUUUUUUUUCUUUUUCAUUAAACUAGGCGACGUCUACGGUUCUUUGAAAAAAUACUUUGCAUUUUUUCUUUACAAAGAAGAUAAUAGUCUACGAUUGAUAACGGCACAGAGAAAUCUACAAGA
rnacentral:misc_RNA from 1 species